UAAGGAAUAUUGGUCAAUGGACGCAAGUCUGAACCAGCCAUGCCGCGUGGAGGAUGAAGGUCCUCUGGAUUGUAAACUUCUUUUAUCUGGGACGAAACACUUCUUUUCUAAGAGGCCUGACGGUACCAGAUGAAUAAGCACCGGCUAACUCCGUGCCAGCAGCCGCGGUAAUACGGAGGGUGCAAGCGUUAUCCGGAUUCACUGGGUUUAAAGGGUGCGUAGGUGGGUAUGUAAGUCAGUGGUGAAAUCCCCGAGCUUAACUUGGGAACUGCCAUUGAUACUAUAUAUCUUGAAUACCGUAGAGGUAAGCGGAAUAUGUCAUGUAGCGGUGGAAUGCUUAGAUAUGACAUGGAACACCAAUUGCGAAGGCAGCUUACUAUGCGGUGAUUGACACUGAGGCACGAAAGCGUGGGUAGCAAACA
rnacentral:rRNA from 1 species